ACCAUCUGCAGAAUAAGGACCAGAACUUUACAGAGCAGUUCAUCGUGGCCCUGUAGUUCGCCUCCUUCACCAAAGCUCUGUCAGGGACCUACAUGAAGAGUGCCAUCACUCAGAGAGACACUUUGACCUGUCCUGCUCUCUCAUCGGACUCAUAGACGGCAGCUUUGAGAUGGGUUUCAACAAUAACAUUGAGUUGCUUGAGAAUUCAUGUAGUAAAAACCAGAUACAGACUACAGUAUGAUCCAUUUUUUUGUGGUUCAAUCAGAGUCUGCUCUCAAUACUGUCCAGUUUUAUAGUUGUUCCUAUUAAUUGAUUGACUGGCGUUUGUCCAUGACUCUACUGUCAAACCCCUAACAUUGUUGUAUUUGAUUCUAUGUUGUUGCAGCCUAGUAUCCAAACUGAUAUGUCAUUUUUAGUAAAAAAAUAACAGUGUUUAUAAUUUGCUAUUCCUGACUACUGUAGUGUUGUGGUUUCUUGCAGGUAACCUGCUGUUCCUGGCUGUGGUCAGCCAUUUUGGGGCGAAGCUGCACCGGCCCAGGUUCAUUGCUAAGGGCUGUUUCCUCAUGGCUGUAGGAUCCUCCCUCACAGGCCUGCCACACUUCUUCAUGGGACGGGAGAAAAUCAAGUGAGUUUGACAAACUCCAGAAGGAGAACUCACAGAUGAAGAGCGUCAUCGAAAACCUGAGGAAGCAAAACAUGGCUUUAAACCAACAGGAUGACCAGGACAAGUUUUCAAGUUUUGGCUAUCAGGAGAGCUACCCAAUCGCAGAGGGCCAUCGUGGCUUCAUCAGUGAUGCCAGACUUCUGCAGAUGCAGAGAGCUGAAAGAGAGGCCAUGGAAGCAAAGCAAAGAAAGAUAAGUGCUAUCCAUGAGAAUUAUGUCCGGACUGCUCUCAUCGGGGUUGGCAGCACCUUCGCGCACCACUUCGUCCCCUCUAUUCAGUGCAUUCCGCGGCCGAAAGCUCCACCGAGGCCUUUGCCACGAAGGCUUGAGCACAUAGCUCUGGCCCCACUGAAGAACGUGGUGGGGGUGGACGGAGCCCAAGUUCGACCCGGAUCUCACUCUCUGGAGUCCAUCCAGGUAAAUAAGUCAUUCAGCAGCAGUAGCGUGUGGCCUGUUCCCGUCCCUCCCACUGCAGCUCCCUCCAAGAGGGGAAAGAAGAAGAAGGGCAGGCGGGGAGUCAAAGCCCUGAAAGUCCAGUCGGACCAGGGCUGUGCUGACAACAACGGACCCAUUGACCUGAUGGAGGAGGUGAGGGACAUCGAGGCUCACCUGAAGGAGGAGGACUGGAAGGUGGUACAUGAGGUGAAGGCCAUGGGCAGGAGAAGUUUGGGCUCGGUCAUGUCCACGGGGGAAAUAGCAACCAGCUCUCUGGGAAGCCUGAGCUCAGUGGAUAUGAACACCCCUGCGGAGCUCCGUGACUACUUGGAUGUCGGGACCCCGGUCAAGUCGCUUGACAGCCCACCCAGGCCUGCUCCCCCUCCUACCAAGCCCAGGAGCAAACAGCCUCGGCCUAUAAGGUUCCUUAGCCUGCCAAAGGCUGCCACCGGCUCAGACAAGAUGGCAGCCAGUGAGCCAAAGGGUCAAAUUAAGAACCAGGCCAGAUUGCAGCCCCUGUCCAACCCAGAGCAGGCCCUGACUAAGACCUUCAAGCUGCUCCACUCUGCCUCUGAUGACUGGGAGAAGAAGAUCGAGGGCUUGACCACUCUCCGUGUGAUGGCUCAGAACCACAUGGACAUACUGAUGCCUAAACUCCAUGAUAUCUGCCUUGCCAUUAUAAAUGAGGUGAAGAACCUGCGCUCUGCAGUGUCCUGUGCUGCCAUGGCCACACUGGGUGACAUGUACGUGCACCUCCAGAGGGCCAUGGACAGUGAGGUGGAGGGGACGGCACGCGUGCUGCUGCACAAAGCCAGCGAGGCCAACGCCUUCAUCCGGCAGGGCGCCAACUUUGCCCUGGGUCACAUGGUGCAGAGCUGCACCCCUACACGUGUCAUGAAUGCCCUGCUGGUCGGUGGGCUGAGCCACCGUAACGCUGCGGUGAGGAGCUGCACUGCUCAGCACCUGGAGAGACUGGCUGAGGUCAUGGGGACGGCUCGUCUCCUGUCGGGGAAGAAAGACCUCACUGACCGUUUCUUGAUUGCCGUCAGUAAACUGGCUGUGGACCCUUCACAGGAAGUCAGGCAUCAUGGUCGCAAUAUCUUGAGCAACAUGGCCACCAAUGGCGACUUUCCUAAAAUGUGGGACAAAUUCGCUCCGAGGAAAGAGAGAGAAUCCUUGAGGGAGGUCAUCUCGAAGGUUAACCUCAAAGAAAGGUACAUUCUCUCUGGAUGAUUAGAAGAAGUGUAACAAAUGAGCUGAUAUGAUUACAGAAAUCCAAUCCCACUGGGCACAGAAAUCAGAUCCAUGUCUAGUUUGAUUUAAAUUUGGGAAAUCAACCAAAAAUGCUGGUUAAAAGUUGGGUGAAUAAAAUCCAAUUGAGUUUUCAGCGUUGAUUCACCGUCAUCACAUAGAUUUUCUUGUUGUUGAAAUGAGGUGGAAAAGUUUAUUCAACCAGUUUUGGCCCAAAGGGAUGAAUUUAAUAUACUUGUCACAACUCUUACCGAAGGUGGCUCCCCUUCCCGUUCGGGUGGCGCUCGGCGGUCGUCAUCACCGGCCUACUAGCUGCCACUGAUUCUUUCCUCCCCCUCCUUGUCUGUUUAUUGGUUACACCUGUUGUGUAUUUGCUGAUUAGUUGGGCUUUAUUAGCCAGCCGGCCCGCCUGCUCUUUGUGCGGGAUUGUUUUGUGUAACUUGUGUGCACGUCUGUGGGUUACAUGUUUCCCAUUUCGUGGGUUUUGCUGGACAGUUUAAGUCCCUGUGUUUUCGUGGGGUUGGCUUAUGUUCGCCGUUUUGUGCAUUAAAUUAGCACUACCCUGAACUCUCUGCUUCCUGCGCCUGACUUCUCACCCACUACACCCAGAACGUUACAAUACUGUAAGAUUAUAUCUUUCUGUCUUUUCUCUUUUUCAACAGGAAUAUCUGAAUCAUCCCCAACUUGACUAUAUAUUUGUAUCUAAAUAUUUGCACAUUUCCCAACUUGACUAUUAUCCCCUCCAGCCCCCAAACUCCAAUAUGUUCUCUCAUUCUAAGAAAUUUGACACUAUCAUCCAACCCCCAUGUAAAUGCAUCUUUAAACUGCAUUGACUCCUUGUCCAAGUUCUGAAUCCACUAUUAGGCCAUAUGAACCACAUUCAAAGCACUAAAUUACCUUUCCUCGAAGCUCCUAUCUGAUCUACCAGCUCAAUAGUGGUCUACUGAAACCAUACUCACCAUCUCAGGGGGUGCUCAGAUCAUCAACCACUGACCUCCACACCAUCCUCAAAACCAGCAGUCCUCUUUUGGAGACAGAUUGGUCAGUGCUCCUGUAUGGCACCAACAUUGUGGAUUUUCAUCCAAUACUUCUGGACUAUGGGAACAUUCUUUGGACAAUAAAAUGAGGUAAAAUGGAAGCUGGCUACAGUCUCAGUUUUAUCCUCCAAGACAGUUUGAGGAUGUGUAACAACAAUACCUGUGGUUUACCUUGACGAUCAGGGCCAGAUUACCGAAUGGGCACGCAGGGCACCUGCCCUGUGGGCCCUGACCUCCAGGGAAUAUCAUCAUAACAUCCAAAACUAAAAAAAUUGUGGAUGUAUAUUACAGUACGUGGACGUUUUACAUUUCGUGAGCUCGUUUCAUAGUUUGUAGCCAUGUUAUAUAUACAUUUGUGCAUAUUUUGUAGAAAUUCCUGAGCAUUUAAAUUUUUUUAGUGGGGAUGUUGUAUAUCAAUUUUCUUACUGGUGCUCUUCCAUGCCGUCCUUAGGAGGGGUGCGUCACUUGAGUAGGUUGAGUCACUGACGUGAUCUUCCUGUCUGGGUUGGCGCGCCCUUUUGAGUUGUGCGUGGCGGAGAUCUUUGUGGGCUAUACUCAGCCUUGUCUCAGGAUGGUAAGUUGGUGGUUGAAGAUAUCCCUCUAGUGGUGUGGGGUUACAUCCUUCCUGUUUGGCCCUGUCCGGGGGUAUCAUCAGAUGGGGCCACAGUGUCUCCUGACCCCUCCUGUCUCAGCCUCCAGUAUUUAUGCUGCAGUAGUUUAAGUGUCGGGGGGCUAGGGUCAGUUUGUUAUAUCUGGAGUACUUCUCCUGUCUUAUCCGGUGUCCUGUGUGAAUUUAAGUAUGCUCUCUCUAAUUCUCUCUUUCUCUCUCUCUCUCUCUCGGAGGACCUGAGCCCUAGGACCAUGCCUCAACUCUCUAGAGACAGCAGGAGUGGCGCAGCUCUCUCCUCCAAAGCCUGCAAAAUCAUCGCUGGACUGCCCCUUUCCUAGCUCUGCAUGGAACAUCCAGUGUCACGUCCUUGGUGACGUGUGGGGUGACAUCCGGGAUGACCACAGCAACAUCCUCUGGAAAGGGAAAAAAGAGGAUCAGGAUGUAAACAAAUGCAAACCGUAUCUUCUAAACACUGGCCAGUUGAAAGGUUCUGCUAAGAUGUCAUGACAAACGGCACCUGUCAGAGUGCUCUCUAAGUGUUACUCACCUGCUUGGAUGUCAGCUGGCAGAGUGUCGAAGACGUCCAUCGUGAGAGUCCUUUCUUCAGGUGUGACAUGCUCAAUCGAUCCUAUUUAUUUGUACUGAAAUUUGAUCUUUUUUUUUCUCUGCUGCUACUCGUGUUUUACAGAAACACGUUUGAGUGGGUUUUCUACAGUCUGGCGCAUGUUGACACAAGAUGGAGAAUGCAUAUGCUGCAAACCAGCACAACUAUCAGGCAUCAACUAUAGACGAGUUUCACUCACUACUGCAGUUUGGAGUUAGGUUGAUGUUAGAGGCUACUGGAGGAAGUUAUGGGGCAUACUUGAACUCUUUAAGGGAACAUGAACCUUUCUACUCCUGCAAAUUAUGACUAAUAACCCUAAUCAAAUUCUACGAGAUGGGUUUUUGAAUGCAGUACUGUAUUUUCAUUGAAAUGGCAGAUUUGUAUGAUUUCACACAAAAAAUUUUAUGUAAUGCUUCCCACAAAUAAAUUAUUUUACAAUUU